rnacentral:lncRNA from 1 species
CCGGGGAUCUAGCCACAGAGCCUGCCUGGUAAGUGCAAGGUCCUGAGUUCGAUUCCCAAGAGCCAGGCAUUAAGGUAAGACUGUGGAUGGAAGACGAGCAUAAUCUGAAUUGUUGUUCUCAAAUUCUCAUCGAUGUGCAGGUUCCGGGACAGAAAUCUCUCUGUGGUGCCUCUGGCAGGAGGAGGAGGACCAGGAACACUUCGUCUGUGUAUACUUUUUGUCUUUUUUUUUUUUUUUAACUUUUUGUCUUUUUGAGACAGAGUCUUGCUAUGUAGCCCUGGUGGGCCUUGACCUCACCUCACAGCGACCCUCCUGGCUCAGCCUCCUGAGUGCUGGGGUCACAGGCGUGCGCCGCCACGCCCAGCCUGUCUGUGUAUUAAAAUGGGCAGACUGCUCACUUGGCUAACCCACACCAAUGAGGCGCUCAAUGACUACAGAUGCCAGAUCAUUUUAUUUCUUGUCACAAUGACGAAGCUAAAAGGAACAGGACAGCUCCGCCCCAAGCUAUCAGCUUCGACAGUAGGGCUAACCCUGAUCCAGGUGUCGCCCUGCUCCGAACACUGAGUGACAACUGACAAAGGGUAACAAGAAGCUUCCAAAGAAUUAUGCCAGGCAUUACUAAUCACUAGAGGCUGAAGGAAAAGAG